UGGAGAUGUCGAUCGGUAAGAUUUAUCCAGCUACUGUUCACCGGUGGUGCAGGUGGCAUGUUCUGAAGAAAGCGAAGGAAACCCUGGGACUGCUAUACACGAAGAAGAGCGACUUCCAGGCUGAAUUUCAAAAGGUUGUGAACCACAUGCUAACUCAAGAUGAGUUUGAGGCGGCUUGGGGCUUGUUGUUGGAUAAAUGUAAUCUGAGGAAGCACACGUACAUGACCCAAAUAUAUGAAACCAGGAAAAAGUGGGCACAACCGUACUUCAAGGGUGUGUUUUGCGCAAAAAUAACGAGCACCCAACGCACUGAGAGUGCAAACCAUGUGUUGAAGAGAUGUACAUGCCUCUUGCUAGCCCAAUGCAUGUUUUCGUAGGCAGUACAUGAGGUUGCAAUUUGACCGCGAGGGUGAGGAAAGCUACGAGGAAAAGAGGACAAUGAUUGGCGGAGCCGUAAGGAGAACCAACCUUUGCAAUAGAGUGGCACACAAGCAAAAUCUACACUAGGAAUAUGUUUGAGGAAUUUGGCCGCCUCCUAAUUGAAGGGAUGGCAUACAAUGUCACUGAAGUGGAGAGGUUCAGGAAAUAUAUAACAGCUCACAACAAUGCAACAAAAAGAGAAAAAUGGAGCAGGGUUGAGUACGAGGUGACCAUAAACGAGACCAAUCAGUAUUCACUUGCGAGUGUGGCCAGUUUGAGCACACUGGGAUGUUGUGCAGCCAUGUCUUGAGGCUCAUGGAUAUACUUCAUCUAGAGGAAAUCUCUAAGCACCAUAUUGUCGAGCGGUGGACAAAAGACGCAAGAGAUAUACUUCCGAAGCACUUGGUUCGGUACCAGAAAGACAAUUCAGCAAACUUGUCAUUCACAUGUAG